GGAUCACAUCACUCUGCUAUUUCAGACACUGUUCAGAAAUAAAGUGUGUGGGAGGCAGAAAUGACCCCCAAAGUUGUCCACGUCCUAAUGCUGCAACCUUACAUGGAAACAGGAACUUCGCAGAUGUGAGGAAGGUGAAGAUCUUACGAUGGGGAGAUUUUCCUGAUGUAUCCACUGGGCCCAAUGUAAAGACAAGGGUUCAUACAAGAGGGAGGCAGGAGGACUCUGAGCAGGAGAAAUGACAACAGGAAGCAGAAGUUGGAGAGAAGCAAGGAAGGGGCUAUGAGCCAAGGAAUGUGGACAGCCCCUAGAAGCUGAGAAAGGCAAGGGAGCUCAUCUUCCCUAGUGCCUCCAGAAGGAAUGCAGCCUUGCCAACCCAUUUUAGACUUCUGGCCUAGAAUUGUCAGAUGGACUUCAAGUUCUCUCUCC
rnacentral:lncRNA from 1 species